UGAGGAAUGAAAGUCUGUUAAAAGAGGAGGAAAGAGUUUCAUAAAUACCUUCAGCUACAGGAGUAUUGAAGCCUGUAGCGACACGACCGGAGUAUGACAUGUCUCGUCUCGCCUUGUCCCUCCACACACACACACACACACACACACACACACUCCAUUAUAAAUGUCUGUAUAAACGUUCUCUCUCUCUCUCUCUCUCUCUCUCUCUCUCUGUAUAAAUGCUUAUAAAAUAAAUGCUAUUUUUCUAUUUUUUUCCCCAGAAGGCUGUAUAUCCCAGGCUCACUGUGCAUCCACUCAUCCAUGCUUCCUAUCCUUCAUUCCACCGGAGUCUGUGUGUCUGUGCAAUCAGAUUUCAGUGGUGUGAAGAAUACGAGACAUGGGCCUGCCCUCGUUGUCUUCUUCAUCAUCAUGAUCAUCAAAUUUAAUUUGUUCAAAAUGUGGUUCUGUAAUAUAAUAUAAUAUAAUAUAAUAAUAAUGAAUUACGAACUAAAGAAUUUUUUUUAUUGACCCUUGACAUAAAGAGCCUGUCUGCACAGCUAAAAGGACCCAAAAAAGUUUAAGUAUUAAAAAAAAAAUAAAAAAAUCUGUUAUUUCUGUCUGUGAUAAGAGAGAGAGGAUUAACUGGCUCUCUCAGGACCUGUCACUAGUCUCACUGUUUAUUAAUCAAAAGCCAACCAUUUAUUAGAAUUUAAUAGAAAUUUAAAAACUAUAUUCAAAUUCAUUAUUUUUGAAUUAAUAUGUAUUUAUUGACUGAAAUAAACAAGAAAAAACAUUUCUUCCCAUGACCAUGUAGGCAGAGGUAAUAAAAGAUAGCACUACCUGUGCCCUGGUGUUGAUUUGGCUGUGUGGUUCAGUGGACCUGCUUAGUCCCUAAAUCAGGAAAAAAACAUUAGUUUCUGCACACGACCAUGCGGAGGUGUUGAGAGCGCUCGUAAACAGAUGUAAACACUACGACAUGUACAUUAACCAGUAAUAAUGCACCCACUAUCACCAUCCACAUCAUAACCACUGAAGUAAGAAGUGACACAGGCUUGUAAUCAACGUAAACCCUAAACAUGGUUCAGUUCGUUAGCGUUACCGCAGAAUCGAAGCAGAAAAACCUGAGAUCAAGAACUAAUGUACUUCUGAUUGGUCCGUUAACGAGACUGCGGUCAGAAGCGUUGAAUCUGCACAAAGUACACAGUGAAUAAGAAGUGAAAGAAGGGACGUGCUAAAGAAUGAUCUGAUUAAACUAAAGAAAAUAAACAAUGCCUCGAAGAUAACGACGGCACGACGACGCAGAGUAGGUCCGGACGAGUCGUGAUCAGUUUUGUCACUCCGUCAGAUAAAUGUUUUAUCGGUUCGGAUGAAAAUCAGAGUCGUGUUUUACAGUGUGGAAGGGAUCGGGUUACAGGAAUAAAUUCAGUGACCAAAUAAAA